rnacentral:rRNA from 1 species
ACGAACGCUGGCGGCGUGCUUAACACCUGCCAGUCGAACGGUGAAGCGCCUUCCUUUUUGGUGGGUGUGGAUGAGUGGCGAACGGGUGAGUAACACGUGAGUAACCUGCCCCCUUCUUCUGGAUAACCGCAUGAAAGUGUGGCUAAUACGGGAUAUUCUGGGUCUGUCGCAUGAUGGGUCUGGGAAAGAUAUUGUUUCGGUGGGGGAUGGGCUCGCGGCCUAUCAGCUUGUUGAUGGGGUGAUGGCCUACCAAGGCGGUGACGGGUAGCCGGCCUGAGAGGGUGGACGGUCACACUGGGACUGAGACACGGCCCAGACUCCUACGGGAGGCAGCAGUGGGGAAUAUUGCACAAUGGGCGCAAGCCUGAUGCAGCGACGCCGCGUGAGGGAUGGAGGCCUGCGGGUUGUGAACCUCUUUCGCCAGUGAAGCAGGCCUGCCUCGUUUGUGGGUGGGUUGACGGUAGCUGGAGAAGAAGCGCCGGCUAACUACGUG